GGAAGCGUGGCAGAGCGGCCGAAUGCAGACGCCUUGAAAGCGAGCGUGGAGAAAUCCACCUUCGCCGAGAGCCCCGCCGCUUCCG
rnacentral:tRNA from 1 species